AUACGGAGGAUGCAAGCGUUAUCCGGAUUUAUUGGGUUUAAAGGGUGCGUAGGCGGUUUGCUAAGCGGGAGGUGAAAUGCCGGCGCUCAACGUCGGAAGUGCCUCCCGAACUGGUGGACUUGAAUGACUCUGCCGUGGGAGGAAUGUGUAGUGUAGCGGUGAAAUGCUUAGAGAUUACACAGAACACCGAUUGCGAAGGCAUCUCACGAAGGGUUGAUUGACGCUGAGGCACGAAAGUGCGGGGAUCGAACAGGAUUAGAUACCCUGGUAGUCCGCACAGUAAACGAUGAAUACUUGUUUUCGGCGAUAUAAUGUCGGAGGCAAAGCGAAAGCGAUAAGUAUUCCACCUGGGGAGUACGCCGGCAACGGUGAAACUCAAAUGAAUUGACGGGG
rnacentral:rRNA from 1 species